rnacentral:rRNA from 1 species
ACGGGAGGCAGCAGUCGGGAAUUUUGCGCAAUGGAGGAAACUCUGACGCAGUGACGCCGCGUGCAGGAAGAAGGUUUUCGGAUUGUAAACUGCUUUAGAUAGGGAAGAAAAAAGACAGUACCUAUAGAAUAAGCUCCGGCUAACUACGUGCCAGCAGCCGCGGUAAUACGUAGGGAGCAAGCGUUAUCCGGAUUUAUUGGGUGUAAAGGGUGCGUAGACGGGAAAAUAAGUUAGUUGUGAAAUCCCUCGGCUUAACCGAGGAACUGCAACUAAAACUGUUUUUCUUGAGUGCUGGAGAGGAAAGUGGAAUUCCUAGUGUAGCGGUGAAAUGCGUAGAUAUUAGGAGGAACACCAGUGGCGAAGGCGACUUUCUGGACAGUAACUGACGUUGAGGCACGAAAGUGUGGGGAGCAAACAGGAUUAGAUACCCUGGUA